GCAAACUUGGUCAUUUAGAGGAAGUAAAAGUCGUAACAAGGUUUCCGUAGGUGAACCUGCGGAAGGAUCAUUAUUGAAUAAACUUGGUGGGUUGUAGCUGGCUUUUUGAAGCAUGUGCACAUCCAUCAUCUUUAUCUAUCAUCCACCUGUGCACCUAUUGUAGUCUUGUGAAAUGAGAAUGGCAGACCCUCGAUGUUUCGGAUGUGGGGAUUGCCUGGCUCUCUCCAACCUGACCAUAAUCAUUUUCUUGACUAUGUUUUUUCAUAUACCAUGUAGUAUGUUGCAGAAUGUAUCAAUUGGGACUUAGUGCCUAUAAAACACAAUACAACUUUCAGCAACGGAUCUCUUGGCUCUCGCAUCGAUGAAGAACGCAGC
rnacentral:misc_RNA from 1 species